UGGGGAAUUUUGCACAAUGGGGGAAACUCUGAUGCAGCGACGCCGCGUGAUUUAGAAGGCCUUCGGGUUGUAAAAAUCUUUUCUACGGGAAGAAAAUGACAGUACCAUAGGAAUAAGGACCGGCUAAUUACGUGCCAGCAGCCGCGGUAAUACGUAAGGUCCGAGCGUUGUCCGGAAUCAUUGGGCGUAAAGGGUACGUAGGCGGGUAAGCAAGUUAGAAGUGAAAUCCUAUAGCUCAACUAUAGUAAGCUCUUAAAACUGCUCAUCAUGGGGUAUGGAAGGGAAAGUGGAAUUCAUAGUGUAGCGGUGAAAUGCACCGAUAUUAGGAGGAAUACCAGUCGCAAGGGCAACUUACUGGCCAUAACCUGACGCUAAGGUACGAAAGGGAAGGUAGCAAACAGA
rnacentral:rRNA from 1 species